rnacentral:tRNA from 1 species
UCCCCGGUGGUCCAGCGGUUAAGACUCUGCGCUCCCACUGCAGAGGAUGCAGGUUCAAUCUCUGGGCGGGGAA